rnacentral:rRNA from 1 species
AUUGAACGCUGGCGGCAGGCCUAACACAUGCAAGUCGAGCGGAUGAAGGGAGCUUGCUCCUGGAUUCAGCGGCGGACGGGAGAGUAAUGCCUAGGAAUCUGCCUGGUAGUGGGGGAUAACGUCCGGAAACGGGCGCUAAUACCGCAUACGUCCUGAGGGAGAAAGUGGGGGAUCUUCGGACCUCACGCUAUCAGAUGAGCCUAGGUCGGAUUAGCUAGUUGGUGGGGUAAAGGCCUACCAAGGCGACGAUCCGUAACUGGUCUGAGAGGAUGAUCAGUCACACUGGAACUGAGACACGGUCCAGACUCCUACGGGAGGCAGCAGUGGGGAAUAUUGGACAAUGGGCGAAAGCCUGAUCCAGCCAUGCCGCGUGUGUGAAGAAGGUCUUCGGAUUGUGAAGCACUUUAAGUUGGGAGGAAGGGCAGUAAGUUAAUACCUUGCUGUUUUGACGUUACCAACAGAAUAAGCACCGGCUAACUUCGUG